GAAAAGGAAACGCAAACUGAAAAAGUACCCUAAUGAAAAAUUGGAAGAUGGUGAUGAAGCGCGCGUAAAGAAAAAGAAAGAAAUGGGCUUAAUACUUUAGCAUCUUGGUGGAACAAGUGCAGGAGAUUCCUGGGAAUUCAGCAGAUGGUGGUGUUGGCGCUGCUUGGCGAGGCACCUGUGGGAAAGGCUUCUGAAAUGCCAGCACAGUCUACAGAGGAGGCCCUUCAUUCAAGCACCACUUGUCAGCCCACAAACUUCACAAUCCCACAUGACAGACAUCACUAGGGAUGGACACUCUGGACUUCAUCCCCCAUCGACACACGACAAAGACAUCUGGACGAUUGUCACGGACGUCACGGUCCCUGAUAGUUGACGUCUCCCAUGGGGCAUUGGCAGGAAGAAGAAGGAAAGUCAGUCUUGCAUGAUUUUGAACAUUAGGUGAUAAUUGACAUGCAUGAUGUAGUUUUUUUGAACGAUUUCAGGUUAAUAGUGAAAUGGAAAUAUACUUACUGUUGGUCUUCAAAGAAUGCAACUGUUGUGUUAUUCAGAUGUCAGGCUACUGCAUUAUACACAUCAGAUCACAUCAUUGUCUAACAGUAUGGCAAGAGAAACCUGUGAGGAAAUUUACAUCCACAGCUUCUUGAUUGUCUUUGUGUAGCUCAUACAGUAAUAUAAUAAAUCAAUGAGCUAAAGGUUGGUAAACUAAAGAUUUACCAUUAUAGCCUUUUUUCAGUUAAUGUAAUUUUAUGCUUAUAUCCAAGAGCAUGCACGACUU